UACGAAGGGGGCUAGCGUUGCUCGGAAUCACUGGGCGUAAAGCGCACGUAGGCGGAUCUUUAAGUCAGGGGUGAAAUCCUGGAGCUCAACUCCAGAACUGCCUUUGAUACUGGAGAGCUUGAGUCCGGGAGAGGUGAGUGGAACUCCGAGUGUAGAGGUGAAAUUCGUAGAUAUUCGGAAGAACACCAGUGGCGAAGGCGGCUCACUGGCCCGGUACGUGACGCUGAGGUGCGAAAGCGUGGGGAGCAAACAGGG
rnacentral:rRNA from 1 species